AAAGCGUGCGCAGGCGGCCAUGCAAGACAGAUGUGAAAUCCCCGGGCUCAACCUGGGAACUGCAUUUGUGACUGCAUGGCUAGAGUACGGCAGAGGGGGAUGGAAUUCCGCGUGUAGCAGUGAAAUGCGUAGAUAUGCGGAGGAACACCGAUGGCGAAGGCAAUCCCCUGGGCCUGUACUGACGCUCAUGCACGAAAGCGUGGGGAGCAAACAGGAUUAGAUACCCUAGU
rnacentral:rRNA from 1 species